rnacentral:rRNA from 1 species
AACGAACGCUGGCGGCAUGCCUAACACAUGCAAGUCGAACGAAGCCUUCGGGCUUAGUGGCGCACGGGUGCGUAACGCGCGGGAAUCUGCCCUUGGGUUCGGAAUAACAGUUAGAAAUGACUGCUAAUACCGGAUGAUGACGAAAGUCCAAAGAUUUAUCGCCGAGGGAUGAGCCCGCGUAGGAUUAGGUAGUUGGUGGGGUAAAGGCCUACCAAGCCGACGAUCCUUAGCUGGUCUGAGAGGAUGAUCAGCCACACUGGGGCUGAGACACGGCCCAGACUCCUACGGGAGGCAGCAGUGGGGAAUAUUGGACAAUGGGCGAAAGCCUGAUCCAGCAAUGCCGCGUGAGUGAUGAAGGCCUUAGGGUUGUAAAGCUCUUUUACCAGGGAUGAUAAUGACAGUACCUGGAGAAUAAGCUCCGGCUAACUCCGUGCCAGCCGCCGCAGUAA